UACGGAGGGUGCAAGCGUUGUUCGGAAUUAUUGGGCGUAAAGCGCACGUAGGCGGGUUCGCAAGCCGAUUGUGAAAUCCCCGGGCUCAAUCCGGGAAUUGCAGUUGGUACUACGAAUCUUGAAUGCUUGAGAGGGUGACGGAAUUCCUGGUGUAGAAGUGAAAUUCGUAGAUAUCAGGAGGAACACCGGAGGCGAAGGCGGUUGCCUGGCAAUGCAUUGACGCUGAGGUGCGAAAGCGUGGGGAGCAAACAGG
rnacentral:misc_RNA from 1 species